CUGAACGGCUUGGACCGGCGGGAACCCACACGGAUCACCCGCAAAAUUAUUGGUAUUCUUAGCAGAGAAGGUAACGGGAAAAACGAGUAGAAGUUUAAUUGAAAGCGACCCUCCAAUUUUGUGGACUCUCUUCUCUGGUCAAUGCUAUUAUUUAUCAACGUUUCUUGCACUCCUUAAGUUUUCACAUACAGUACCAGAAGUUUCUUCUGAAAAUAUUUAAUCAAUAAUCCCUUUUUCUGUGUGGUUUUCACCGUAAUUCAUUGUUUGAGUUCAACAAGUAAAGAAUCGUGUCAAUUGCUGUUGGAUUAUAGCAUGAACUAAACCGGGUUUCGGGAAAUUAUAGGAGAGAGAAUCAAGACAUGAUGAUAAAUUUUCAAGGUCUUUCAAAGCAGAAAUCUCCCCAGGUUCUGUUUGAAGAUGCAUUUCCAGCGUCUGAUCCUGGUACCCUGGAGCAAUUAAAAGAGUUGAGCUCCAGAAGGAGAGCUAUUGAAUCCAUCAACCAAAAUAGCUUUGUGACAGAGGCUAUUGCCAGGGAAAUGUCUGGGGGAUUGACUUCUCGAUGUGAACAGAAUAUACAGAAGGUGGAACAGUAUUUGCCACUUUUGGGAAACCUGAUACACCAUGUAAAUCUAGUUGGUGACAACCCCAAGAUGGUUCGAUGGAUUUCUGACCUAAAGAUUAGGUGGAGCAGUGCUCUCACUUCAUCAUCCUUUUUUCAACUGAACGGACCAAAACUUUAUCAGAUGGAUAAUUUGCAUUCGGAACAUGCAAUGACACUUUUCGUUCUUGGUGCAUUGUUUCGAGAUCGAGCUCUUGAAGUUCUAUCAACAGAUUUAGUGCAAUCAGCCUCCUUUCUCAGAAAAGCUGCAGGAGUUUACCAUCAUAUAACUCACGAUGUCCUUCCCUGUUUACGGCCUGCAUCGGCACAAGAAAGGCCACCAGAAGGUGUAAUCAGUGUUUCUACUGCAAUCACCCUUGUUUGCUUAGCUGAGGCACAGGCUGUGAGUGUGAGGAAGGCAGAGCAAAAAGGGAAUACUGGAGGACUCUUGGCGAAGCUGCACUAUGGUGUUUGUAAAUUUCUUGAAGAAGCUAUUCAUACCUUGCACUCGGCCACCAAGCAGUGCAAAGACAUUUCAUCUUGCUUAAUGGAUUAUAUUACAACUUCUAAAAUGCUACAUGAGUUACUCAGUUACAAGUAUCUUGCGGAUAGUCUAAAGAUUGAAGGGCAAAUAGGAUCUUCAAUCGGAGUUCUUCGCCAUGUGAUACAAAAUGCAGAAAAGCAUAUACCAAGAGAAGAGUCAUGGAGACUAGUUUAUAAGCAAGUGAUCGAUGACUUGACUGGACGGCUCCGGAAGUAUGAACAUGAAAAUGAGUUUGUCUGGCAUGAAAAGAUUCCCACGCACGACGAACUGCCUGUACCUCAAGGUGUCAAGAUUGUUAGUCCCAUACCUUAUCAGCCACAAAAGUGGGAAAGAACACUUGUUUUCAAAAUCUGAACAUACAAGACCUGCGUAGCACUUCGUUUGUUUGGAGCAGGACUGCAACGCAUAACCUUUGCAGGCGUCCUUCGUCAUUUGAGUGUCUCGCAAAGGUGAAUAUUAUCUUUAGAGCUCUUCUAUUGAGUGUAAAUUCCCAAAUUUUGGUGCUGCCUGAACUUAAUAAACGUGCCCCAAUGGAGAUUUCACAGCUUUUCAUUCUUUGAUAAGGAGAGCCAUAAAUGCUGAAAUGCAUCUGAAUGAAGUAUGUGUGACUGAAUGUCUACUUUUGAUAAGAUUAAUGAAUUACCAAGAUCUCCUCAGUACUUACUUUUUUCCCGGUGGCAAUGCAGGAGACUACACAAGUAUUGUUGGCCUACUGUCCGAAUUUGGCUUUAUACCUUCCAUCCUAUCUUUCAGACAACAGUUACCAAUUCACGACAACUAGUUGCAGUGUGAGGUACGUCGAAGUCUUUUUUGUGAAUAUUCAUUUAGUAUGUUUUCUGUGAAAACAAUUUCCUAGAAUUUGUAUACAGUCAAAAUCGAAGAGUAUGAUUUUGAAGGUUUAAACCGGGCUCUAGACCCGAGUCCGAGAGACUUGAAGAGGGUGUCGAAUCCGGCUGAGGGACACCCACCUCGGAGAAGCUGAUCGAGUGUCUGAUACGGACUGCAUCAAGGGAAGCAUUAUCUCGAAGUCAAUUAAGAAAAAGAGGGAGUUUCUCAAAGACACGUGGACAUGGGCAUUAAUUAUAGGAUAAGGAUCGUACGAAAUGGUACGGAUCCGUACUAGGUCAUUAUACAUCUGUACCAAUAGAAUUCUUUACUUUUAGGAGUAAGGUACUAUAUUGGGGUUUUCUCCUCCUAUAUAAAGGGGACCCAAAUCAUUUUGUAAAGAGAUCAGAUCAUUCAUUGCAAUAGAACAUUCUUAUUCUCUC